GAGCCCCUUGCCCCCUCAGCGCACCUCACCUCACCUCAGCCCGCCAUUACCUUGCACUCGCCCGAACACUUCAUAAUCCACCGACUUGAGCGCGCCGGAGGCUUUGGCCAGGGCGGACAUGGCAGCGCCGGAGGAAGAGCCGCUGCGGCGGGUGCCCAGUGCUCCGCGGGCCGGCGGCGCCCGGACGGGAGCGCGCGAGGCUCAACCUUCCCGCGUCAGCGGCCGCCUCACGGGAAUGUGAGGGAGGGAGUCAGGGCACCCCCGAACCGAGCCUUGACAGGGAGGGAGACACCGGUCCCUCCGUGAGGGGAGAACACCUAACAGCGAGGAGUGACAGCGCUCGUCCCGUGAAUGGAGGGAGAACCCCUCACGGUGACAGCGCUCGUCCCGUGAAUGGAGGGAGAACCCCUCACGGACCGAGGGCUGGAAACACCUCCCGCCGUGAGGGUCCCGGCGCCGCAGCCCUGAGGGGCAGACACAGCCCCCGAGCGCCCUGUCGGCAGCACAAGCGGCCACAGCGUGUCCUUCAGAGUCCUCACAUGUUAUUCUCGCUUCUAUUUGAAAUUAGAAAUACCUUGAGAGAACAGUCUUAACAUCACCAUCUCCAAUUCCAGGGCUGACGCUGCCGCGUAUUCAUUCACCUGAAGUUAUCCCCUCAAGCAUCCAGCGCACAGGCAUCAUUUCCUCAGAGAAACAUCAUUUAACCACCCUGAGAAGGUGAACUCAACCUUCUCCUACUCAGCAGGGGCCAUACAUUUCAUCAUCAUCACAUUUCACUACUGUGGAAUCAGCACCAUUUUGUUUUGGAAGAGGAGGAUUCGACAGAAAGAAGAACAGGACACAGGACAAAUGGAAAAUGCUUUGUAAUUUGCUGCCAUCUGGCAGCAGUGAAGAGCAAGACAGAGCCUGUCAAGCCUCCUGCUAAUACCAUUCCAGAAAGGCUGAUGGCUCCAUCUUUCCCGGGUGGAGGGAGCUGGAAUCUCCAAGGACAACCAUUUCCCCAGCUAUGUCUCUGGCCAUUGCCAAUGUCUCCUCUUGAUGAUGAAUAGACAAACCGGAGGACUGGGAACUGCAGAUGAAGCUGCAACAGACACACUGGCCACUGAAAAAACAAUAAAUACGAUCAGCUACCCAAGCACUCGGGUAAAGUGUGUCACAAUCCUGCUCUGGCAAACACAGGCAGCUGUUUGGAACACCCCAGUCCACAAGGAGCAGUUUCUGUGUGAGUGACUGCAGGCUGCCAAGGGACUGUGCUUCCUUGAUUUUCCUAGAACAGCAGAAUCCCUGGGAUUGACCUUUGGGAGUUCACUGUCAUCACAUGCUCCUCUGCAGCUGGUUUCUGUUUGGUGGCGCCCGAAGGGAGACAGGGACCCUUCAGAGUGCCGGGUUCCCCGAGUGUCGGCAACGGGAAGAGGGGGCAGGAAACCGGGAAAGAGUUCGAGCCACAGUCGACUUGGAAUCUCACCCUAAUCAGGUGAGCGGCUGGGGAGGAGACGGGGCCAGCACUGAGCAAGGAGGAAGAAGCGGUGCUUAAAUUCCUCCAACAUAUUCUCUCUGAGAGAGGGUUAUCCUGUGAUGCAGGUAGCCUCAAAGGGCUGUUAAAUUGGGCCCGAGAUAAGCGGUGUAUCCCCACAGUAAAUGCUGCUUUCGAAGUCUCGG